rnacentral:snoRNA from 1 species
CCGCAAGGCUUCCAGCAUGGUGGGGCCUGCUGUGGCUCCAUCCAUUCCUGCAGCGCUUGCCAGAGUAACCCUGGGGUGGUUUGAGGCCUCUUUCUGUCUCUCAGGGGGGAGGUUAUAGAAACCCCAUACACUC